UCCCGUUGAUCCUGCGGGAGGUUGCUGCUAUUGGGAUUCGACUAAGCCAUGCAAGUCCAGGGGGUCUUCGGACCACCGGCAAACUGCUCAGUAACACGUCGAUAAUCUAACCUUAGGUCAGGGAUAACUUUGGGAAACUGAAGCUAAAACCUGAUAGGGAAGUUCUACUGGAAUGUUUUCUUCUUUAAAUUUCGAGCCUAAGGAUGAGUCGGCGGCGGAUUAGGUUGUUGGUGAGGUAAUGGCUCACCUAGCCAAAGAUCCGUAGGGGCCCUGAGAGGGGGAGCCCCGAGAAGGGCACUGAGAUACUGGCCCUAGCCCUACGGGGUGCAGCAGGCGCGAAACCUUUACAAUGCAGGAAACUGUAAUAAGGGAAUCCCGAGUGCCGAUACUUUGUAUCGGCUUUUACAUAGAGUAAAUAUCUACGCGAAUAAGUGGUGGGCAAUACCUGUGCCAGCCGCCGCGGUAACCCAGGAGCCACAAGUGGCAACCAUCUUUAUUGGGCCUAAAGCGUCCGUAGCCGGUUUUGUAAAUCUUCUGUGAAAUUGUUGUGCUUAACAUAACAGAGUGCAGAAGAGACUGCAAAACUUGGGACCGGGAGGAGUCUGGGGUAUUUUGGGGGGAGCGGUAAAAUGCUAUAAUCCCCGAAGGACCACCUGUGGCGAAGGCGCCAGACUAGAACGGAUCCGACGGUGAGGGACGAAAGCUAGGGGAGCAAUCCGGAUUAGAUACCCGAGUAGUCCUAGCUGUAAACUCUGCGAGCUAGGUGUUGCACAUUCUUCGGGAAUGUGCAGUGUCGAAGCGAAGGUGAUAAGCUUGCCGCCUGGGGAGUACGGUCGCAAGGCUGAAACUUAAAGGAAUUGGCGGGGGAGCACUACAAGGGGUGCGGCGUGCGGUUUAAUCUAAUUCAACACAGAGAACCUCACCAGAGGCGACGGCAGGAUGAAAGUCAGUCUGAAGGGCUUACUUGACGAGCCGAGAGGUAGUGCAUGGCCGCCGUCAGCUCGUGCCGUAAGGUGUCCUGUUAAGUCAGGCAACGAGCGAGACCUGUACUUACAAUUGCUAACUGCUUCAUUGAAGGACUGAGCACAUUGUGAGAACUGCCCUCGAAAGGGGGAGGAAGGUGCAGGCAACGGUAGGUCUGUAUGCUCCGAAUCUUCUGGGCUACACGCGCGCAACAACGGUUGGUACAAUGGGAUGCGACACCGAAAGGUGAAGCCAAUCCUCGAAAACCAAUCAUAGUAUAGAUUGUGGGUUGCAACUCACCCACAUGACAUUGGAAUCCCUAGUAAUCAGAAUUUAUCAAAUUCUGGUGAAUAUGUCCCUGCUCCUUGCACACACCGCCCGUCAAACCACCCGAGUAGGGUUUAGAUGAGGCUUAAUUUUGAAUUAAGUCGAAUCUAGGCUCAGCGAGGAGGGUUAAGUCGUCACAAGGUA
rnacentral:rRNA from 1 species